UACGUAGGUGGCAAGCGUUAUCCGGAUUUAUUGGGCGUAAAGGGAACGCAGGCGGUCUUUUAAGUCUGAUGUGAAAGCCUUCGGCUUAACCGGAGUAGUGCAUUGGAAACUGGGAGACUUUAGUGCAGAAGAGGAGAGUGGAACUCCAUGCGUAGCGGUGAAAUGCGUAGAUAUAUGGAAGAACACCAGUGGCGAAAGCGGCUCUCUGGUCUGUAACUGACGCUGAGGUUCGAAAGCGUGGGGAGCAAAUAGG
rnacentral:rRNA from 1 species